rnacentral:tRNA from 1 species
GGGGUUGUGGCUCAGUGGUAGACAGUUCACCUAGCAUGUGUGACGCCCUGGGUUAGAUCCCCAGCAACACAU